rnacentral:rRNA from 1 species
UACGAAGGGUGCAAGCGUUACUCGGAAUUACUGGGCGUAAAGGGUGCGUAGGUGGUUGUUUAAGUCUGCUGUGAAAUCCCCGGGCUUAACCUGGGAACUGCGUUGGAAACUACGAGGCUAGAGUGCGGCAGAGGGGGGUGGAAUUCCAGGUGUAGCAGUGAAAUGCGUAGAGAUCUGGAGGAACACCGAUGGCGAAGGCAGCCCCCUGGGCCAGCACUGACGCUGAUACACGAAAGCGUGGGGAGCAAACAGG